UACAAUGUAACUUAAUAGAAUAUAUAUAUCACUACAGUUGUACUCUAUAAAAUAUUGAAAGAAAAAAUAAAAAUAAUAAAUACUGAAAAUUUAAUGAGGUUUAACAAAUUAUACCUAUGUCUUAUGAAGAAAUUGACAAAUUUAGGUAUGAUACAAGUGAAAAAUUAUAAAUAGGAAUAGGGAAAUUUUGUCUUAUGAAGAAAAUGAAAAUUUUGGGAAUGAUUUAAAGGUGGAAAAACCACCUUCAUUUAUAUUAGUACAACGUCUCUACAACCUUGAAUGUUUUAGAUGUGGGAUUAUGUUGUUUCUACAAAUCUCCAC
rnacentral:lncRNA from 1 species